CGUCUCAGUUCGGAUUGCAGGCUGCAACUCGCCUGCAUGAAGUCGGAAUUGCUAGUAAUCGCGGAUCAGCAUGCCGCGGUGAAUACGUUCCCGGGCCUUGUACACACCGCCCGUCACACCAUGAGAGCCGGGAACACCCGAAGUCCGUAGUCUAACCGCAAGGAGGACGCGGCCGAAGGUGGGUUUGGUAAUUGGGGUGAAGUCGUAACAAGGUACC
rnacentral:rRNA from 1 species